AGCGAACGCUGGCGGCAGGCCUAACACAUGCAAGUCGAACGAACUCUUCGGAGUUAGUGGCGGACGGGUGAGUAACACGUGGGAACGUGCCUUUAGGUUCGGAAUAACUCAGGGAAACUUGUGCUAAUACCGAAUGUGCCCUUCGGGGGAAGGAUUUAUCGCCUUUCGAGCGGCCCGCGUCUGAUUAGCUAGUUGGUGAGGUAAAGGCUCACCAAGGCGACGAUCAGUAGCUGGUCUGAGAGGAUGACCAGCCACAUUGGGACUGAGACACGGCCCAAACUCCUACGGGAGGCAGCAGUGGGGAAUCUUGCGCAAUGGGCGAAAGCCUGAUGCAGCCAUGCCGCGUGGAUGAUGAAGGUCUUAGGAUUGUAAAAUCCUUUCACCGGUGAAGAUAAUGACUGUAGCCGGAGAAGAAGCCCCGGCUAACUUCGUGCCAGCCGCCGCAGUAAGAC
rnacentral:rRNA from 1 species